rfam:TPA: Bos taurus chromosome 16, whole genome shotgun sequence.
UCCCUGGUGGCUCAGGGAUUCAAGCGUCUGCCUGCAAUGCAGGAGGCCUGGGUUCGAUCCCUGGGUCGGGAA